rnacentral:tRNA from 1 species
GAGGACGUAGUUCAGUGGUAGAGCAUUUGCCUACUAUGCAUGAGGACCUGGGUUUAAAUCCCACUACCUCA